UACGAAGGGGGCUAGCGUUGCUCGGAAUCACUGGGCGUAAAGCGCACGUAGGCGGGUCGCUAAGUCGGGGGUGAAAUCCUGGAGCUCAACUCCAGAACUGCCUUCGAUACUGGCGACCUUCGAGUCCGGGAGAGGUGAGUGGAACUCGAGUGUAGAGGUGAAAUUCGUAGAUAUUCGCAAGAACACCAGUGGCGAAGGCGGCUCACUGGCCCGGUACUGACGCUGAGGUGCGAAAGCGUGGGGAGCAAACAGG
rnacentral:rRNA from 1 species